UAGGUGUCUGAUGGAAGGAAUGAACAGA
rnacentral:piRNA from 1 species